ACAAGCUAGCUCCUUGGGCACAACUCGAAAGUCUGCACAUUGUGCCACAUCAUCCUGACAGCACCAGCGGCAAACGAGAAGGACCAUGACGCAGGACGAACCCAUAACUGAGCAAGUGAAACGUAAAUAAUACUGAGGCGCAAAACGAAUCGAAUCGAAUCGAAUAGAACAACAAACUUUGGCGUAACCACAUCAACACUACCCACCCGCUUAUCACUUAUCCGCAGUGCCGCAAAAGACGCCCCCUUGUGUGUGCUACACAUUUUGAGAGACCACCAAAGUCUGUGGCCCUCCUGAUUGCGUGUAUCUUGCAACACUUCCCUUCAACAAUAUUUUCACGAUGUUGUUCGACAUGUGUACCUUGUCAGGCAUUUUGAUAAGCGUCACUCAAAGGGGUACAUUAAAAAUAUAAUAGAACGGUGUCUUUCAAUUUAUACUGCAAUAAGAGUAAAGUGUUCUGUAAAU
ensembl:ncRNA lncRNA:CR44973 long non-coding RNA:CR44973